GCUCCCGUAGCUCAGGGGAUAGAGCGUUGGUUUCCUAAACCAUGCGUCGGAUGUUCGAAUCAUCUCGGGAGUGCCA
rnacentral:tRNA from 1 species